rnacentral:rRNA from 1 species
GACAAUUUCCAAAUCACGUUGAAAGUACCAGUUCUCGUCCGAUCACUAAAGUUGAGCACGGUUACUUAGAUGGGUGACUGCUUGGGAACACCGUGUGAUGUUGUCC